GUCGAAGGGCAUCGGGGAGAGUGCCUGCACUCUCCGCCGGCGACUGGCGCACGGGUGAGUAACACGUAUGCAACCCGCCCUCCACAGGGGGACAACCUUCCGAAAGGGAGGCUAAUCCCGCGUAUAUCCCCCGGGGGCAUCCCCGAGGGAGGAAAGGAAUACCGGUGGAGGAUGGGCAUGCGGCGCAUUAGGCAGUAGGCGGGGUAACGGCCCACCUAGCCGACGAUGUCUAGGGGUUCUGAGAGGAAGGUCCCCCACACUGGUACUGAGACACGGACCAGACUCCUACGGGAGGCAGCAGUGAGGAAUAUUGGUCAAUGGGCUUACGCCUGAACCAGCCAAGUCGCGUGAGGGAAGACUGCCCUAUGGGUUGUAAACCUCUUUUGUCAGGGAGCAACGCCGGCUACGUGUAGCCGGACUGAGAGUACCUGAAGAAAAAGCAUCGGCUAACUCCGUGCCAGCAGCCGCGGUAAUACGGAGGAUGCGAGCGCUAUCCGGAUUUAUUGGGUUUAAAGGGUGCGUAGGCGGAAUGCCAAGUCAGCGGUAAAAUCGCGGGGCUCAACCUCGCUCCGCCGUUGAAACUGGCGUUCUUGAGUGGGCGAGAAGUAUGCGGAAUGCGUGGUGUAGCGGUGAAAUGCAUAGAUAUCACGCAGAACUCCGAUUGCGAAGGCAGCAUACCGGCGCCCAACUGACGCUGAAGCACGAAAGCGUGGGUAUCGAACAGGAUUAGAUACCCUGGUAGUCCACGCAGUAAACGAUGAAUACUAGCUGUUCGGGGCAAAUGAGCCUUGAGUGGCACAGCGAAAGCGUUAAGUAUU
rnacentral:rRNA from 1 species